rnacentral:lncRNA from 1 species
GAGCUGCAAAAUGGUAACUAGAAAGGAGGAAAAAAUACCUCUUCCUCCCUCCUGGCCAGCCCUUCCACAGCUCCCGGCAGGGCAGCCAGCGCGAGCCCAUCCCCCACGCCUCCCAGCCCAGACGCGCGGCGGGCACAGAUUAAAGCCAGUGAAUAAAACUAAAGGUCACUUUAAAGGAGUAUAAAGCUACAGUGGACAUAACGUGGCAUAGGUGAUCUUGACACCACAGAACUGUGAAGCCUGCAAUCCUACAAUAUAGAGGGGUAUGAGGAAGACAUCUCAGGAUACUGAAGAGUGUUGCAGAGGACCCACAAAUAGUCCUGAGCAUGAGAUGGUGGACAACAAACCCAUUUUUGGUGUGGGUAAAAUCAUUAGCGACAUCUUUUUCUUUUUUUUUUUUUCAGCAGUUUGAAGAUGUGUCAUUCCAUUUAUUUUUUCAUAAUUUCUGUUAAAAAGACUGCAGCUGCCCUUACUGUUGUACCUUUGAAGGUGUUGCAGCAAGAGCGCUGGCCUGCCAUGAUCUGCUACAUUCUACCUGGAAAUACAAGUCAGAAGUCAGCCUGUCAUAUUUUUUCAAAAGGUGACUUGUCAAAAUGAGACUUCUUUCAUAAAAUCAGUCUGGUUGGGCAUGGUGGCUCACGCCUGUAAUCCUAGCACUUUGGGAGGCUGAAGUAGGUGGAUGGCUUGAGCCCAGGAGUUUGAGACCAGCCUGGGCAACAUGGCAAAAUCCCAUCUCUACAAAAAAUACAAAAAUUAGCCGGGCAUAGUGUCACACACCUGUGGUCCCAGCUACUCAGGAGACUGAGAUGGGAGGAUCACCUGAGCCCGGGAGGUUAAGGCUGCAGUGAGCCAGGAUUGGGCCACUGCACUACAGCAUGGGUGACAGAGUGAAAUGCUGUCUCAAAAAACAACAACAAAAAAUCUCUCAAUCUGUCCAAAUAGUUAGAUUGUCUUCAGUAAUCUUUCCAUCGCGAUCUUGCUUUGUUUCUACUACUACUCUGAUGCUACAUAAUUAAGGUCACCAAUCGUUGUCACUGUCUUUCCAAACCUGUUGUUCCUUACUUCCUCCGGCCAUUCUUCCUUGUCCCCCUCCCAUUCAUCAUCCAGACACACACACACACACACACACACACACACACACACACACACACAUACAUUUUAACAAUACCAAACUCCUUGUAGUUCCCCUAAAUGAAUCAUGUUGUUUCCCUUACCUGAAAUGCCCAAUCCCUUUUUUAUUUUCAUUGCUAACUCCUCUCAUCUUUCCAGAGUGUUCACGUCUACCAGGAGUGUUCUUGUCCCUCCCAUUCCUUUCUACUCUAGCUCCACUCACAGUUCUGUGUAAUCCCAUCUUGUGGACUAACCCGUGUUAAAAAGAUUUGUUUGCUGAUUUGAUUCUUCCCUCCACUACACCCCCCCAUAACACAAAAUGAGUCCCUUAAAAGCAGAAAUGUUGCCUCACUGGUCUCCAGCACCCAGUGGAGUAUUUGGUAUGAAUGUCGGUCGAACUGUACUCUCUCCAGUGUGCAUUUUGUUCCAGGAAGACUAGGUAAUAGCAGGAGCAUUAGAAGCCUCAUCUUCAGGGCUGUUUGACAUUGAUUUUUUAAAAAAUACAUUUCCUGAGGUCUCACUAGUGCCAGAAUAUGAAAAAAAUAAUCAUUCUUCUCUGACUAAAGUGGAAUCACCAGUGAUUUAUUCUCUCCUUAAUCAGUAAUACUAGCUAACAUUUAUAUAGCCCUCACUAGGUCCCAAGCACUUUGAACAUAUCAUCUUAUUUCAUGUCUAUAACCACCUUCAGGUAGGCACUGUUGUUACCCUCCAAUUUACAAAGGAGGAAACUGAAGUGCAGGGAGGUUAAGUAAGUGGCAAGCUAGAAUCUGGAUACAGGUUGUCUGGUUCCAGGGACCAGGCAGUUAGCCAUUAUGCUAUGCGGCAUGAUUUCUUGCUUUCCUUGCCCUUUUUUCUUAAAUGUUUAAUUACAUAAGUAGCAUAUCAAUACAUUUAAAUUGUCAAAAAUUCAGAAACAAAGCAAAAACUCACUACUAUUUGAUGGGUAUCUUUCAAGAUCUUUUUCUUUGUUUACAUACAUAUAUACAUUAUGUGUGUGUACAUAUAC